rnacentral:rRNA from 1 species
CCUACGGGGGGCAGCAGUGGGGAAUAUUGGACAAUGGGGGGAACCCUGAUCCAGCCAUGCCGCGUGUGUGAAGAAGGCCCUCGGGUUGUAAAGCACUUUCAGUGAGGAAGAACGCCUGGUGGUUAAUACCCAUCGGGAAAGACAUCACUCACAGAAGAAGCACCGGCUAACUCCGUGCCAGCAGCCGCGGUAAUACGGAGGGUGCGAGCGUUAAUCGGAAUUACUGGGCGUAAAGCGCGCGUAGGUGGCUUGAUAAGCCGGUUGUGAAAGCCCCGGGCUCAACCUGGGAACGGCAUCCGGAACUGUCAAGCUAGAGUGCAGGAGAGGAAGGUAGAAUUCCCGGUGUAGCGGUGAAAUGCGUAGAGAUCGGGAGGAAUACCAGUGGCGAGGGCGGCCUUCUGGACUGACACUGACACUGAGGUGCGAAAGCGUGGGUAGCAAACAGGAUUAGAUACCCUGGUAGUC